UACGUAGGUGGCUAGCGUUGUCCGGAUUUACUGGGCGUAAAGAGCGCGCAGGCGGUCGUUCAAGUCGAGUGUGAAAGCCCCCGGCUCAACUUGGGAGGGUCACUCGAUACUGAUCGACUCGAAGGCAGGAGAGGGAAGCGGAAUUCCCGGUGUAGCGGUGAAAUGCGCAGAUAUCGGGAGGAACACCGGUGGCGAAGGCGGUUCUCUGGGCCUUACCUGACGCUGAGGAGCGAAAGCGUGGGGAGCGAACAGG
rnacentral:rRNA from 1 species